rnacentral:rRNA from 1 species
UACGUAGGCGGAAUAUUAAGUCAGUGGUGAAAUCCUGCGGCUCAACCGUAGAACUGCCAUUGAUACUGAUAUUCUUGAAUGUAGUUGAGGUAGGCGGAAUGUGUAAUGUAGCGGCGAAAUGCUUAGAUAUUACACAGAACACCGAUUGCGAAGGCAGCUUACUAAACUAUGAUUGACGCUGAUGUACGAAAGCGUGGGGAGCGAACAGGAUUAGAUACCCUGGUAGUCC